CCCCCCAUGGCCUCAAUGGCUCCUUCUUGUCCAUGCCCAGGUCUGCGGGCGGCCGUGACGCUGGAGGAGACCGGAGGCGGCCUCCAAAGCCCCGGGGGCUCCAUGAGGCUCCUCUGCAAGACCUCGGGCUUCACCUUCGGCAGCUACGGCAUGGGAUGGAUGCGCCAAGCACCGGGGCAGGGGCUCGAGUUCGUCGCAAGCAUCAACAGCAAUGGUGGUAGCACCUGGUACGCGCCAUCGGUGAAGGGCCGAGCCACCAUCAGCAGGGACAGCUCCCAGGACACGGUCACGCUGCAGAUGAGCGGCCUCACGGCGCAGGACACGGCCACUUACUACUGCGUGAAGAGUGGUUAUACUGGUGGUGGUGGUGGUGGUGCUCCUGGUGCUGGUUAUGGUGGUGGUGGUGGUGCUUGUGGUGGUUAUGGUGGGUACGGUGCUGGUUAUAGUGCUGGAUAUGUUGGUUAUGGUGGUUACAGUGUGUAUGGUGCUGGUGCUGGUUAUGGUUAUGGUGGCGACGGUGGUUAUGAUGACUAUGGUGGUUACGGCUUAAUUAUUAGCCCUAAUUGA